GCCGGGGUGGUGGAAUUGGUAGACACGCACGUUUGAGGGGCGUGUGGGGCAACCCUUACGAGUUCGAUUCUCGUCCCCGGCACCA
rnacentral:tRNA from 1 species